rnacentral:rRNA from 1 species
CGGCCUGUGGCCGAAUGGGGCUGCUUACAUGCAGUCGAACGGUAACAGGUCUUCGGACGCUGACGAGUGGCGAACGGGUGAGUAAUACAUCGGAACGUGCCCAGUCGUGGGGGAUAACUACUCGAAAGAGUAGCUAAUACCGCAUACGAUCUGAGGAUGAAAGCGGGGGACCUUCGGGCCUCGCGCGAUUGGAGCGGCCGAUGGCAGAUUAGGUAGUUGGUGGGAUAAAAGCUUACCAAGCCGACGAUCUGUAGCUGGUCUGAGAGGACGACCAGCCACACUGGGACUGAGACACGGCCCAGACUCCUACGGGAGGCAGCAGUGGGGAAUUUUGGACAAUGGGCGAAAGCCUGAUCCAGCAAUGCCGCGUGCAGGAUGAAGGCCUUCGGGUUGUAAACUGCUUUUGUACGGAACGAAAAAGCUUCUCCUAAUACGAGAGGCCCAUGACGGUACCGUAAGAAUAAGCACCGGCUAACUACGUGCCAGCAGCCGCGGUAAUACGUAGGGUGCGAGCGUUAAUCGGAAUUACUGGGCGUAAAGCGUGCGCAGGCGGUUAUGUAAGACAGAUGUGAAAUCCCCGGGCUCAACCUGGGAACUGCAUUUGUGACUGCAUGGCUAGAGUACGGUAGAGGGGGAUGGAAUUCCGCGUGUAGCAGUGAAAUGCGUAGAUAUGCGGAGGAACACCGAUGGCGAAGGCAAUCCCCUGGACCCUGUACUGACGCUCAUGCACGAAAGCGUGGGGGAGCAAACAGGAUAAGAUACCCUGGUAGGUCCACGCCCUAAACGAUGUCAACUGGGUUGUUGGGGAUUUGGUUUUCUCAGUAACGAAGCUAACGCGUUGAGUUUGACCUCUGGGGAAGUACGGCCGCAGGUUGAAAACUCAAAGGAAUUGACGGGAACCCGCACAAGCGUGGGAUGGAUGGGGUUUAAUU